rnacentral:tRNA from 1 species
GGGAGUGGGGUCAUAGCUCAAUGGCAGGCAAUCUGCUUUGCAUGCAGAAGUUCCUAGGUUCAAUCCUUGGCAUCUCCA